AUUGAACGCUGGCGGAAUGCUUAACACAUGCAAGUCGAACGGUGACGAGGAGCUUGCUCCUCUGAUCAGUGGCGAACGGGUGAGUAACACGUGAGCAACCUGCCCCAGACUCUGGGAUAACAGUUGGAAACAGCUGCUAAUACCGGAUACGAGACGGAGAGGCAUCUCUACCGUCUGGAAAGUUUUUCGGUCUGGGAUGGACUCGCGGCCUAUCAGCUAGUUGGUGAGGUAAUGGCUCACCAAGGCGACGACGGGUAGCCGGCCUGAGAGGGCGACCGGCCACACUGGGACUGAGACACGGCCCAGACUCCUACGGGAGGCAGCAGUGGGGAAUAUUGCACAAUGGGCGAAAGCCUGAUGCAGCGACGCCGCGUGAGGGAUGAAGGCCUUCGGGUUGUAAACCUCUUUCAGCAGGGAAGAAGCGAAAGUGACGGUACCUGCAGAAGAAGCACCGGCUAACUACGUG
rnacentral:rRNA from 1 species